UGGUGACGUUCAAAAACCAAGAUGGUGACGACCAAAAAUCAAGAUGGCUGACGACCAAAAACCAAAUGGUGACGGUCAAAAACCAAGAUGGUGACGGCCAAAAACCAAGAUGGCGACGUCAAAAACCAAUAUGGAGACAGCAACAAAC